GAUGAACGCUGGCGGCGUGCCUAACACAUGCAAGUCGAACGGUCCUCGUAAGGGGAUAGUGGCGCACGGGUGAGGAACACGUAGCUGACCUGCCUCAGAGCGUGGGAUAACGCCCCGAAAGGGGUGCUAAUACCGCGUAAGCUCACAGUUUUUAGAGGACAGUGAGAAAAGGCCUUCGGGUCGCUUUGAGAGGGGGCUGCGGCGCAUCAGGUAGUUGGUGGGGUAAUGGCCUACCAAGCCAACGACGCGUCGGGGGUCUGAGAGGAUGACCCCCCACACUGGGACUGAGACACGGCCCAGACUCCUACGGGAGGCAGCAGUGAGGGAUAUUGCACAAUGGGGGAAACCCUGAUGCAGCGACGCCGCGUGGGCGAUGAAGGUCUUCGGAUCGUAAAGCCCUUUUCUGUGUGACGAGCAAGGACGGUAGCACAGGAAUAAGUCUCGGCUAACUACGUGCCAGCAGCCGCGGUAAAGCGUAGGAGGCAAGCGUUAUCCGGAGUUACUGGGCGUAAAGCGCAAGUAGGCGGCCUGACAAGUUGGUUGUGAAAGCGCCCGGCUAAACUGGGCGAGGCCGACCAAGACUGUUAAGCUAGAGAGUGAUAGAGGGGCGCAGAAUUCGGGGUGUAGCGGUGAAAUGUGUAGAGAUCCCGAGGAAUACCAGCGGGGAAGCCGGCGCCCUGGGUCAUAUCUGACGCUGAGAUGCGAAAGCGUGGGGAGCGAACGGGAUUAGAGACCCCGGUAGUCCACGCCGUAAAC
rnacentral:rRNA from 1 species